GCCCCCGUAGCUCAGAUGGACAGAGCAGCGGUUUCCUAAACCGUUGGUCGCGAGUUCGAAUCCCGCCGGGGGCA
rnacentral:tRNA from 1 species